rnacentral:rRNA from 1 species
AGUGAACGCUGGCGGUAGGCCUAACACAUGCAAGUCGAACGGCAGCACGGUAAGAGCUUGCUCUUACGGGUGGCGAGUGGCGGACGGGUGAGGAAUACAUCGGAAUCUACUUUUUCGUGGGGGAUAACGUAGGGAAACUUACGCUAAUACCGCAUACGACCUGCGGGUGAAAGCAGGGGAUCUUCGGACCUUGCGCGAUUGAAUGAGCCGAUGUCGGAUUAGCUAGUUGGCGGGGUAAAGGCCCACCAAGGCGACGAUCCGUAGCUGGUCUGAGAGGAUGAUCAGCCACACUGGAACUGAGACACGGUCCAGACUCCUACGGGAGGCAGCAGUGGGGAAUAUUGGACAAUGGGCGCAAGCCUGAUCCAGCCAUACCGCGUGGGUGAAGAAGGCCUUCGGGUUGUAAAGCCCUUUUGUUGGGAAAGAAAAGCAGCAGGUUAAUACCCCGCUGUUCUGACGGUACCCAAAGAAUAAGCACCGGCUAACUUCGUG